CAGUCUUUCACCUCCUCCUCCUCCUCCUCCAUCCACCCCGCUGCAUCCUUCAGAGCUGCGAGAGCGCGAGCGAGCACCGCCGCCGUCAAGUUACCGUGUGAAAGCUCGCGACUUCCUGAAAUGACCGUGGGACACUGCAUUCUGGGUAAUGAAGUUUUCACCGUGAUUGCCUUGCGGAUCACAGAUUGCCUCUCUCUUGAGAUGACCCUGGACAAUCCCAGUAGUAAGGAACAGGGAGGAAGGAAGCAGGUGCCAAUAUACUGUGUCCAUCUUUCCUCUCCAUGGUGAAUCCCACUGAGU